rnacentral:rRNA from 1 species
UACGUAGGAUGCUAGCGUUGUCCGGAUUUAUUGGGCGUAAAGAGCUCGUAGGCGGUUUGGCAAGUCGGGUGUGAAAACUCCGGGCUCAACUCGGAGACGCCACUCGAUACUGCCAUGACUCGAGUCCGGUAGGGGAGUGCGGAAUUCCUGGUGUAGCGGUGAAAUGCGCAGAUAUCAGGAGGAACACCGGUGGCGAAGGCAGCUCGCUGGAACGGUACUGACGCUGAGGCGCGAAAGCGUGGGGAGCGAACAGG